rnacentral:rRNA from 1 species
UACGUAGGGUGCAAGCGUUAAUCGGAAUUACUGGGCGUAAAGCGUGCGCAGGCGGUUCGUUAUGUCCGAUGUGAAAGCCCCGAGCUUAACUUGGGAAUGGCAUUGGAAACUGGCGGGCUGGAGUGCGGCAGAGGGGGGUGGAAUUCCGACGUGUAGCAGUGAAAUGCGUAGAGAUGUGGAGGAACACCGAUGGCGAAGGCAGCCCCCUGGGCCGACACUGACGCUCAGGCACGAAAGCGUGGGGAGCAAACAGG